rnacentral:lncRNA from 1 species
CAGCGGACGAACUUUCACAAUGCCUUUUGAAUUCUGCUAUCAGCCGACCUUCUUCCAGAUUCCUCGUGCAAUCGGACCUCUUCAGUGGACAGCCCUCAGACAAGCUUUUACAUCAGAUAAAUUCCAGACGGACUUCUCUAGCAAUCAGACUUCUACCAGACUUCACCAAUAGAAAGUCUCCAUUCGAGCUUCUACAGCAGAUGACUCCCACCUGUAGCAUCAGCGCC